AUCCGGCGGCGGCCGUGGCCCGUCUCCGCGCGGGAGCGCAGCGGGAGCGCCGCUCCCGGGGCCGGGAUUCCUGCCCCUCGAGGUGUCAGAAACAGACCCUCCGGCAAAGCGUGGGGCUGAGGGAGCCUAAGGCAGCACGGCGGCAGCAGCCUGCUUAUUUUCGUCAACUGCCGUUGCAUAAUCCAUCAAAUCUGUUCUCCUCCUGGAUGAGCAUCGCUGCCAAUCAUGUCGUACCGCUCACCACCGUAAUUGCAGUACAGCCCUCGAGCAAGCCAGACAUAACUCUGAACGGCGACAUUAGAGGACAAGAAAUCCUCUCCAGUACUCCUAACCCUGCUAGAAGAGGAAAAUCAGAAUACAAGCUGCAGUCCUAAACCACCUCGUAAAAUACCUUGCUAUUUCAAGGGACACAAUUUUAGGAGCAAGGACCUAGUUCAUUGGUCUGAACCUCACUUUACUGCAAGUAAUCUUCCUGCCACUCUUCCCUGAAAGUUCUCCGUUCAGAAAGGCACCAUAAGCGAAGAAAAAAGCUUUUGUAAUAACUGACUCAGGAUGAAUAUUUUUCUGCAGUAUUGUCAGAAACAUGUUCAUGAAGAUGUAUGGGUAACCUACAGGUACAUGAGGAGAACAUGAACUGUAUAAUGCAAAAAGAAAAGAACAUAAUCAGGAUUGUUACAGAAAGCAGACAGAAUGUUUCAGAAAAUGAUGUGGAAGUUCUCUCUGGAAAUGAGUAUGCAUUUAAGUGGCUAAAACAGUGCUAAAGGAUCAAUUUCAUCAGUACGGUGAAACUGAGCCAUUGUCUGACAGGCUUAAGUACAAGAAAAAAUUUAAGGGAACUGGUGACAAUUAAAAUAUCAAAAUAAAAUUAUACCAAGGAAAAGCCCUC